rnacentral:rRNA from 1 species
GACGAACGCUGGCGGCGUGCUUAACACAUGCAAGUCGAACGGAAAGGCCCUUUCGGGGGUACUCGAGUGGCGAACGGGUGAGUAACACGUGGGCAACCUGCCCUCAGCUCUGGGAUAACUCCGGGAAACCGGGGCUAAUACUGGAUAUUCACUGCUCAUCGCAUGGUGGGUGGUGGAAAGUUUUUCGGCUGGGGAUGGGCCCGCGGCCUAUCAGCUUGUUGGUGGGGUGAUGGCCUACCUAGGCGACGACGGGUAGCCGGCCUGAGAGGGCGACCGGCCACACUGGGACUGAGACACGGCCCAGACUCCUACGGGAGGCAGCAGUGGGGAAUAUUGCGCAAUGGGCGGAAGCCUGACGCAGCGACGCCGCGUGAGGGAUGACGGCCUUCGGGUUGUAAACCUCUUUCAGCUCUGACGAAGCGAGAGUGACGGUAGGAGCAGAAGAAGCACCGGCCAACUACGUGCCAGCAGCCGCGGUAAUAC